rnacentral:rRNA from 1 species
UACGGGAGGCAGCAGUGGGGAAUCUUGCGCAAUGGGCGAAAGCCUGACGCAGCCAUGCCGCGUGAAUGAUGAAGGUCUUAGGAUUGUAAAAUUCUUUCACCGGGGACGAUAAUGACGGUACCCGGAGAAGAAGCCCCGGCUAACUUCGUGCCAGCAGCCGCGGUAAUACGAAGGGGGCUAGCGUUGCUCGGAAUUACUGGGCGUAAAGGGCGCGUAGGCGGAUCGUUAAGUCAGAGGUGAAAUCCCAGGGCUCAACCCCUGGAACUGCCUUUUGAUACUGGCGAUCUUGAGUAUGAGAGAGGUAUGUGGAACUCCGAGUGUAGAGGUGAAAUUCGUAGAUAUUCGGAAGAACACCAGUGGCGAAGGCGACAUACUGGCUCAUUACUGACGCUGAGGCGCGAAAGCGUGGGGAGCAAACAGGGAUUAGAUACC